GGUCUUGUGAUGCAAUGGUUAACGCAUCUGGCUACGGAUCAGAAAAUUCCAGGUUCGACUCCUGGCAAGCUA
rnacentral:tRNA from 1 species